UUCUCGUGCGUGGUUGUUUUUGACGUUUGUAUAUUAUAGACGAGCGCGCGGAAGAUUUUUCGAAAUUUGAAUUUUAAAUUUACGAGUUCUGUCCGAUAAUGUUUUUCUUUUUAUUAUGAUAAUGGCGGGACUAGUGAAUUGUAAUGGCCAGUGUUUGUGAGAUAAUUUUAAUGGAUGAGUGAUGUCUAUGAAAAAGCUUUAAGGUGUAAACGCGAGUGAAGUGAAAUAAAAAACCGAUGACUAAUUGAAAAUCAACCUUAUGUGAUAAAGAAUAAGUGUGUUAAGAUCCACACAAAAGACAGGCGAAUGACGGAUGCAUAAUCGACAAUGCACCUAAUGUGAUAAAGGACAGGAGUGCUAAAACCGUCAAGAAGAUAGAUGAGUGAGGCGCACUAAAUGACGGAUGGAUAAUCGGAAAUGAACCUUAUGUGAUUAAGAAUAGGAGUGUUAAAAGCGUCACGUUGCAUACGUGUGCGGAGUGCGCGCGGCGGGCGACCCGCUCGCGAGCGACGCUCCCGCGCGACCUAGAGCCAUGCGAUCGUGUCAUGGAGACGAUCUCUGAAGACGCUGAAGCUGAACUUGAACUUGGUAA